AUGCGAGAUGACGUCACGAUCAAGAGUAAAGCCUGUGGGACGGAUGCACUUAACACCGAUGCCGGAGUGAAGAAGAACCGGAUCAGAACUCAGAGUGAAGACGAAGCAUCCAUGGAGGGAGAUGCAGAGGAUUCAGACGAAGAAUGCCGCGUCGAGGACGGGCCCACUGUGCUUUGGGAGAAGUGCAUUCAGCAGAGCAUCUUUGUUGACCUAAGUGAGGAUGAAAGUCUCCACCUCAGUGAUUUGGAGAAUUCUUUAGCCUUCCGUGUGUCACCGACAGAGUCUGCUGCCUCCGAGCCGAGCAUUCACCUCAGUGGGAGCGCGGCGCUGUCGGCCUUGGGCGACGCCUCCUCAGCGUCCAGUAUUGUCAACAGCGGUCAAAGUGACAGUGUGGUAGAGAGCAGGACCAAGAGCAGCAUGUUGCAUGUGUCCGCCCAAAGACCAAACACCACUCAAGAUGAGACGCCCUUAAAGCACGAGGAGUCCGGGCAACAUACGAGUGAUGAGGAUCAGGAGGACCUGCCUUUUGAUGGUGACCUAGGAAGCGCCUACUUCAACCAAACAGCCAACUCUGAGGGUGACAUGAGCUCCGAUGUCACUGGUAUGCCUGAAUGUAAGACAAGAGGUAAAGAUGACGUUGUCAAACGCUUGGUUUCUGCCGAGCGGUAUGCUGAGAGACCAGCGGCUUCGACACAAGCGGAUGCCAACACCAACCUUUUUGUUGACGCUUCCAAGCCAAGGGAGGUUUCCCGAUGGUGUCCUCGUCCUUCAGGCAUUGACCUGUUGUUACUGCGACACUUCUCCCAGGAGGAGCUGCUUCAGCCCUGCAGGCUGAUCGAGGCAGAGACCCUGCCAGAGGUGUCCCUAUUAGAGAGCGCAGAUGACAGUGUUUUUAGCAGGGCUCCAACACGCAACAGCAUAACAAUGAAUAGCCACCCGUCGGACAGCCCUCCUUGUAAUUCUGAGAUGAAUCAGCGCUCUGACAGGACUGAUGGGAAAAGUGCAUCAGAAAUAUCAAGUUUACAGGACGAGGCAAGGGAAAUCCCUGCUGUUUGCACUGCUGCUGCUGACAGCAUUAUCUCCGGCUCUGCAAGUAUCCGUUCAGAACAGUGCAGCAGGGAUGCAAGUGCCUCAUGUGAAGAGCAGCAGGAAAAGGUGGACGAACAGGCUCUGAAUUUCCCACUUGUGCGCACCAGGUCCUUCAGUGAGAUGAAGUACGGUCAAGGCCAAGUCCAUUACCGCCUACCUGACUUCUCCAAGGUUUCCCCCAAGGUGAAAAUCCCCAAAAUAACAAAUGGACCAGCCAGAUCUGUUCCUCUGAGCCCCAGGACCACGCACAGAGCCCAGUCUUCUCCAGGGGUACUAGAGGUGAUCAACAGAGUCCUGGAGGAUUCAGCCCAGCCCUCAGUGAAGCCAUAUGUCUUCAAAGACGAGGACAAACGGUCUGCUCCAGCACUGGUGCAUCACCUGCAGGCUGAAUAUGAUAAAUUACUAACUAAAUAUGCUGAGGCUGAGAACCGCAUUGAUCAAAUGAGAAUAGGAAACAACGGUGAUGAUGAUCAGGAUAACUUAGUAGAGGGAAGCCAUCUGGGACCUGUGGCUCGUCACCUUCCCCCAUCAGGUACGUCUCUGUGUCCGACAUCUGAUAUUAUGCCAGGUCAGCGCUUUGCUUCGCGACUUUGGAAUUACGCAGUGAAGUGCAGUCGGUUUCCAUAG
ensembl:lncRNA